rnacentral:rRNA from 1 species
GAUGAACGCUGGCGGCGUGCUUAACACAUGCAAGUCGAACGAUGAAAGCGGGAGCUUGCUCCUGCUGGAUUAGUGGCGAACGGGUGAGUAACACGUGAGCAAUCUGCCCCGAACUCUGGGAUAAGCGUUGGAAACGACGUCUAAUACCGGAUACGACGCGCGAAGGCAUCUUCUGCGCGUGGAAAGAACUUCGGUUCGGGAUGAGCUCGCGGCCUAUCAGCUAGUUGGUGAGGUAACGGCCCACCAAGGCGACGACGGGUAGCCGGCCUGAGAGGGUGACCGGCCACACUGGGACUGAGACACGGUCCAGACUCCUACGGGAGGCAGCAGUGGGGAAGAUUGCACAAGGGGCGCAAGCCUGAUGCAGCAACGCCGCGUGCGGGAUGACGGCGGUCGGGUUGUAAACCGCUUUUAGUAAGGAAGAAGCCGCAAGGUGACGGUACUUGCAGAAAAAGGACCGGCUAACUACGUGCCAGCAGCCGCGGUAAGAC